GAGUGUGGGAACUCGAUACAGCAACUAAAACAAUCCAUCCAUCUGAAUGCUACGCGGGGCAACUGAGAGGAAUCAGCGUGUGUGUUCAGAUGACAGACGAUGAUGGUGAUUUUCAUCUUGGCACGACGAGUGGAGAUGUCCUGAAAGUGAACACAAGCAGCAAGGUGCUGACUGCCUGUGGGCCCCAGAAGAAGAAGUUGAGCAUGGGAGUCACAGCUUUGCUUUUGCCGAAGACAGGAGGUUUAAUAGUCGGCACCGGAGAAGGGACUGUAGCUCUCUGUACAGGCUCAGACUGCCAAGUAAAGAAGUGAGUUUGUAGAUGGAAGAAUCAGGAGGGGAGAGGUGACAAUUCCUCCAAAAG